UACGUAGGGACCGAGCGUUGUCCGGAAUCAUUGGGCGUAAAGAGCGUGUAGGCGGCCUGCUAAGUCCUGCGUGAAAUCUCGGGGCUCAACCCCGAGCGGUCGUGGGAAACUGGCAGGCUAGAGUGCGGGAGAGGAGAGUGGAAUUCCUGGUGUAGCGGUGAAUGCGCAGAUAUCAGGAAGAACACCCGUGGCGAAGGCGGCUCUCUGGAAC
rnacentral:rRNA from 1 species